rnacentral:rRNA from 1 species
AGAGUUUGAUCCUGGCUCAGGAUGAACGCUGGCGGCGUGCUUAACACAUGCAAGUCGAACGGUGAAGCCCAGCUUGCUGGGUGGAUCAGUGGCGAACGGGUGAGUAACACGUGAGCAAUCUGCCCCUGACUCUGGGAUAAGCGCUGGAAACGGCGUCUAAUACUGGAUAUGAACCGUGGAGGCAUCUUCAACGGUUGGAAAGAUUUUUUGGUCAGGGAUGAGCUCGCGGCCUAUCAGCUUGUUGGUGAGGUAAUGACUCACCAAGGCGUCGACGGGUAGCCGGCCUGAGAGGGUGACCGGCCACACUGGGACUGAGACACGGCCCAGACUCCUACGGGAGGCAGCAGUGGGGAAUAUUGCACAAUGGGCGCAAGCCUGAUGCAGCAACGCCGCGUGAGGGAUGACGGCCUUCGGGUUGUAAACCUCUUUUAGCAGGGAAGAAGCGAAAGUGACGGUACCUGCAGAAAAAGCGCCGGCUAACUACGUGCCAGCAGCCGCGGUAAUACGUAGGGCGCAAGCGUUAUCCGGAAUUAUUGGGCGUAAAGAGCUCGUAGGCGGUUUGUCGCGUCUGCUGUGAAAUCCCGAGGCUCAACCUCGGGUCUGCAGUGGGUACGGGCAGACUAGAGUGCGGUAGGGGAGAUUGGAAUUCCUGGUGUAGCGGUGGAAUGCGCAGAUAUCAGGAGGAACACCGAUGGCGAAGGCAGAUCUCUGGGCCGUAACUGACGCUGAGGAGCGAAAGGGUGGGGAGCAAACAGGCUUAGAUACCCUGGUAGUCCACCCCGUAAACGUUGGGAACUAGUUGUGGGGUCCAUUCCACGGAUUCCGUGACGCAGCUAACGCAUUAAGUUCCCCGCCUGGGGAGUACGGCCGCAAGGCUAAAACUCAAAGGAAUUGACGGGGACCCGCACAAGCGGCGGAGCAUGCGGAUUAAUUCGAUGCAACGCGAAGAACCUUACCAAGGCUUGACAUAUACGAGAACGCUGCAAAAAUGUAGAACUCUUUGGACACUCGUAAACAGGUGGUGCAUGGUUGUCGUCAGCUCGUGUCGUGAGAUGUUGGGUUAAGUCCCGCAACGAGCGCAACCCUCGUUCUAUGUUGCCAGCACGUAAUGGUGGGAACUCAUGGGAUACUGCCGGGGUCAACUCGGAGGAAGGUGGGGAUGACGUCAAAUCAUCAUGCCCCUUAUGUCUUGGGCUUCACGCAUGCUACAAUGGGCGGUACAAAGGGCUGCAAUACCGUAAGGUGGAGCGAAUCCCAAAAAGCCGGUCCCAGUUCGGAUUGAGGUCUGCAACUCGACCUCAUGAAGUCGGAGUCGCUAGUAAUCGCAGAUCAGCAACGCUGCGGUGAAUACGUUCCCGGGUCUUGUACACACCGCCCGUCAAGUCAUGAAAGUCGGUAACACCUGAAGCCGGUGGCCCA